UAAAGGCAUAUGGAAGUUUCCAAACCAGGGAUUGAAUGUGAGCCACAGUUGUGGCAACAGGGGAUCCUUGAACCCACUGCACUACGUCGGGGAUCAAACACAUACCUCCUCAGUGACCAGAGCUGCUGCAGUUGGAUUCUUAACCCACUGCACCAUGGCAGGAACUCCCCUGGCAAUUUUCUAGUCCAGUUCCAGACCCUUCAGGAGACUCUACUCCAGCCUUCACAUGGGAUUCCAUGAGACAUUCAUUUUUCUAUGUAAUCACUUGCCUUCCUGCCUAUGUGGUUACCUGAAACCACAGUCAAUUCAUAAGCUUAAAUAAAGCACUAUGCUAUACUCCCCUUAUAAGGCUUCGCUUACUUAACAUUUCUAUCUUUUCAAAGUUUUAAUCUUAUGAAGUGAAUGAUGUAAAAGAUGACACGAUGCCACAUGCCUCUAAGUAAUACCUAACCCAUCAUUCCACUGAAAAUUGGGCAUCCAGGAAAAGAAUUACAAUUAUGCUUCUCCCAGGGGAGUUCCCGUCAUGGCUCAGUGGUUAAUGAAUCUGACUAGGAACCAUGAGGUUGCAGGUUCAAUCCCUGGGCCAUGGAUACUAGUCGGGUUCGUUACCACUGAGCGCUGACAGGAACUCCAAGAGGGACUAUCUUUUCCUAAAUUUAGGAUACUGUCAAGGAAGGACACUCCAAUUAAAUGACAAUGAAGUUAAAAUCUAAAGUAUGUAUAUGAGUUAGAUGGGGGGAAAAAAGCAGUGGGGGCAAGAAAGAAUAUUCCUGCUAGAGAGACAUAUGGGUUUUCAGGCCAAAACCUGGAAAACAAAGUGAGUUAAAGGAACUGAAAGAAGUGAGAGACUACAAUGUACAGGGAAAGAGGGCAAAUGGGAAGACAGAGAGAGGAAGGGCCUAGCAGAGUGAAUUCUCUGCAGCCAGUCCCAGCAAGAGGUGGAGUCUAUUUCCUCACCCUUUACAUUCUGGCCAGCCUGGGACAUACUGUGACCAACACAGUGGCGAAGGUGACACUGUGUGACCUCUACAGCUGGGGCCUCAAGGGCCCUUGCCACAUCCCCUUUCACUCUUUCAGAAUGCUAUCCUGAGACCACAAGUUAAAGAGGCCAGUCUGGCCUAAUAGAGGAAAAGGGACCACAUGGAAGAGAACCAAGGCGCCUGAGUGGACAACCAGAGCACACGAUGUAGGCCACCUUGGAGCUUCUGGAGCCCACUCACCCUUCCAGUUGAAUGCAUCAGAGCAGCGACCCCCAGGGAAACCAGCCAAAGAGCUAUCUGGCUAACUCAAAAAAUCAUGAGAAAUUACAAAUGACUGUGUUGUUUUGAAGCCACUAAACACUAAAGUUAGCAAACAGAAAGAGGCCCAUUCACACAGAACCAGGUUAAACACUGACCUUCAUCCUGAAAUCAAUGGCAAGUCAUCUGGAAUAAAUGGGUUUUAAGAAUGGAGUACCACAAGAUAUCAGUACUGUAGAUACAGUGCCUAGGCCAACAAGAUUUCCAAGAGCCUAAAAAUCCUGUAAAAGUGGUAGGGAAAAGGGGAUGGAUUACGAAAUACAAAAACAAAAUGGCAGAAUCAGAAUUUGUGUGUGUUUCACUAGAUGUUCCAAAUUCACAGCAGAUCAACUGCAAAUCAAUUCUUACAUAGUUAAAGGUUUGUUUUAC
rnacentral:lncRNA from 1 species